rnacentral:lncRNA from 1 species
GGAGGCUCUUAAGGUUUUCCAUUGGAGACUUUCGAAGGAUGCCAGCUUAAGGAGCAUGAGGGCACCUGCUAAGAAAAUUGAGGGUGGACUUUUCAUUGCCUAGCUGGUACACAUCUAGUCAUUUACUUCCAAGACAUCCAGACUCCCUUCCCCUACCUUGGCCUUUGAAUGAAGGUCCAUUACUCCUGCGUGCCCCAUGGCCGAAAGUUAUCGCACUCAUCUUUAACGAGGAAAAUGAGGAAGAUCACCAGAAGUUCCUCGUUGGGGUAAGUUGGUUGUUGGAGCAAACUAAGGUUCAAGUAUCCCUAUCA